rnacentral:rRNA from 1 species
CCUACGGGAGGCAGCAGUGGGGAAUUUUCCGCAAUGGGCGAAAGCCUGACGGAGCAAUACCGCGUGAGGGACGAAGGCUUUUGGGUCGUAAACCUCUUUUCCCUGAGAAGAAGAUCUGACGGUAUCAGGGGAAUCAGCAUCGGCUAACUUCGUGCCAGCAGCCGCGGUAAUACGAGGGAUGCAAGCGUUAUCCGGAAUUAUUGGGCGUAAAGCGUCCGCAGGUGGCUCUGUAAGUCUGUCGUUAAAGAAUGGGGCUCAACCCCAUACAGGCGAUGGAAACUACAAGGCUAGAGUUUGGUAGGGGUCACGGGAAUUCCUAGUGUAGCGGUGAAAUGCGUAGAUAUUAGGAAGAACACCAGCGGCGAAAGCGCGUGACUGGGCCAGUACUGACACUCAUGGACGAAAGCUAGGGGAGCGAAAGGGAUUAGAUACCCCUGUAGUCCUAGCCGUAAACGAUGAUAACUAGGUGUUGCCCGUAUCGACCCGGGCAGUGCCGUAGCCAACGCGUUAAGUUAUCCGCCUGGGGAAGUACGCACGCAAGUGUGAAACUAAAGUAGAGUCGNGNGNGAAGUGNGCGAGACGACGAGAGGAG